ACCGGUUCAAAAGAACGAUUCGCUCACGAACCGAACAUCACUAAAGCUAGUUGCUGCGAUGGUUUAAACACAAUUAUAUUCUACCAGAAAGCAUGUGUUUUAUUCAUAAGGUCUACACAAAGUCCUUUUAAAGGGCAUAUAGCCAUUUUAUAUAUAGCCAUUUUACAGCUCACUUGACCUGGUCAAACCAACUAAACCCUAUUGUUCACCACGUAAAAAUGGUAAUAAAUGUAUGGGGCCUCCUUCAAACAAUAACAUAGAAGUACCUGAUCCCUGAAGAAAUACCCUUAAAGCCCAGCGUGACCGGCCUGUAGACUGUGGGAACUGCACUGUUGACUCUUGCCCCAUAAAACUGCUUACAAUUACAGAGAGAAGGACAACCAGCCGUAAAUUAGACGGAAAUCCAGCUGCCCAUCACUGCACAGUGCUUUAUAAUCAAGCACAUCAGACUUUGAGAAGGAGGUUACGCCUGAGAGACUGAAGUGAAAAGGUCUGUCCUCUGAUUUAUGACCUUCUGCUGCCAUCGGAUCUUCUCCUGCACCGGGAUGGUUUUUUGUGAAGCACUGAAACAGACCCUCCCAGAAACCCCCAAGAGUUUUAGGUUUCCGAAGCCCAUCGAACCUUCCUCCACAACACCAUUAUCAUGCAUUAUUUUCAUUUGGAUUAUCUUAGUUCACUUCCAUUCAAGUUCUCCUCCGUUCCGACUGCAGUCCUCGUCAUGUUUAUGCCGAAGGAGGGGACAGAUCAUUCCGGCCCGUUAUCCGUCCUGACUCAUGCACGGCACUGGCAUAUUGGAGCUGCUGGCCCAGAAGAAUUAGGCCAGAUUUGCCACACUUCACAACCCCAGCCGGGCCUGAUGCACAUUCCCUCAAAAUGCACGAGGACGAUUGUGAACAGAGUCUCAUUAUACCACCGUGGUACAAUGGAGGUGGAAAUCUUGGCACGCUUCUUCUUUACAAAUCCAAAAGCCUUUUCAGACAGAGUUCAGAUGUGUGUAGUGCUCUUUGUCUGAUGAAUGCUUUGUAGGCUUCUCAGACUGUAUAAUUGUGCUUUUACAGUUAUUACGAGACCACCCACGACACCCCAGCAUCAAGACUCAAACCUAAACUUACCCCAAACCUGAUCACUAUUCCUCUGCUGCAUGCAUUGAACACAAGUGCUGUAUGCAAAGCUUCAGUUUUUUGAGGGAAACACGUUUCCUCUGCCUUUGCUCAUAAUUUAGAAAUAAAAGGCAUUUUUCCUACCCUGAUUUUAGCCCUCUUAUUUGAACGCUCUGUUUUAAGGGGCGUGUCUGCUGUGAGACUUCAGUGUAAACGCCCACUGCUGUGAUUGGCUGACAUCUUUCCAAAAUGAAAUAGCUACGUAUUACUCUCUCGAAAACUUUUAGCUUGUUUUUACUAUUAACUCUCAAGGUUAACUAAUCAUAAAAAGUGUUGAUUAUAGCAUUAAACUUAAAUCUAUGGCA